AUUGAACGCUGGCGGCAGGCUUAACACAUGCAAGUCGAGCGGAGAUGAGGUGCUUGCACCUUAUCUUAGCGGCGGACGGGUGAGUAAUGCUUAGGAAUCUGCCUAUUAGUGGGGGACAACAUUCCGAAAGGAAUGCUAAUACCGCAUACGUCCUACGGGAGAAAGCAGGGGAUCUUCGGACCUUGCGCUAAUAGAUGAGCCUAAGUCGGAUUAGCUAGUUGGUGGGGUAAAGGCCUACCAAGGCGACGAUCUGUAGCGGGUCUGAGAGGAUGAUCCGCCACAAUGGGACUGAGACACGGCCCAGACUCCUACGGGAGGAAGCAGUGGGGAAUAUUGGACAAUGGGGGGAACCCUGAUCCAGCCAUGCCGCGUGUGUGAAGAAGGCCUUUUGGUUGUAAAGCACUUUAAGCGAGGAGGAGGCUCUUAAGGUUAAUACCCUUGAUGAGUGGACGUUACUCGCAGAAUAAGCACCGGCUAACUCUGUGCCAGCCGCCGCCGUAAAAC
rnacentral:rRNA from 1 species